UACGUAGGGGGCUAGCGUUGUCCGGAAUCAUUGGGCGUAAAGCGCGUGUAGGCGGUUCGGUAAGUCCGCUGUGAAAGUCGGGGGGCUCAACCCUCGAAUGCCGGUGGAUACUGUCGGGCUAGAGUGCGGAAGAGGCGAGUGGAAUUCCUGGGUGUAGCGGUGAAAUGCGCAGAUAUCAGGAGGAACACCUAUUGCGAAGGCAGCUCGCUGGGACGUAACUGACGCUGAGACGCGAAAGCGUGGGGAGCAAACAGG
rnacentral:rRNA from 1 species